CAUUUUGAACUGCAUGGUUCGAAAUUGAAAGGCGGCUUCGGCUGUCACUUAUGGAUGGACCCGCGUCGCAUUAGCUAGUUGGUGAGGUAACGGCUCACCAAGGCAACGAUGCGUAGCCGACCUGAGAGGGUGAUCGGCCACACUGGGACUGAGACACGGCCCAGACUCCUACGGGAGGCAGCAGUAGGGAAUCUUCCGCAAUGGACGAAAGUCUGACGGAGCAACGCCGCGUGAGUGAUGAAGGCUUUCGGGUCGUAAAACUCUGUUGUUAGGGAAGAACAAGUGCUAGUUGAAUAAGCUGGCACCUUGACGGUACCUAACCAGAAAGCCACGGCUAACUACGUGCCAGCAGCCGCGGUAAUACGUAGGUGGCAAGCGUUAUCCGGAAUUAUUGGGCGUAAAGCGCGCGCAGGUGGUUUCUUAAGUCUGAUGUGAAAGCCCACGGCUCAACCGUGGAGGGUCAUUGGAAACUGGGAGACUUGAGUGCAGAAGAGGAAAGUGGAAUUCCAUGUGUAGCGGUGAAAUGCGUAGAGAUAUGGAGGAACACCAGUGGCGAAAGCGACUUUCUGGUCUGUAACUGACACU
rnacentral:rRNA from 2 species